rnacentral:lncRNA from 12 species
CAGACCUGGCCAAGCCAAGCUCUCCUCUUUACAUUUUGUGUAACCGUGGCCAAGGUAUUGACUGUUCUAAAGAGCCAAUGUCCUCAUUUAUAAACGGAGAUAAUGUCUACCUCUAAGGGUCAUUUUGAGGAUUUCAGGCAUAAAGAUUAUAGCAUAGAUAACUAUAUGCAUUGGCACAGUGUCAGACAUAUAGCAAGAGUUGACAAAAUGGUAACUAAGUAAUAGGAAAAUCCAGGGAAUGGAGAGAUUAAAUCCUACUGGGAAAUUGUGGAUACCCACCUUGGGAAGGUGAGAUUUUAAUUUGGUGCUAAAGAAUGAACAGGUCUCUGCUAGAAGCCCUGGAAAAGAAAGGAUUUCUGGGCAGAGGAAGGUGUAGGGUUAGGGUUGCAAAGGACAAAGAAGGAAGAUCCAGAGAACUUGGGAGGGAUUUGGGUAUGUUUGUAGUGGAAGAGCAUCUGGAUGCUGCUCAUAGUCAGAGUUUGGAGACUUUGAGUGCCAGAGAAGAGGAACCACUUCUAAUUUCAUGAGCCUUUUGGAGUACUAUUCCAUUUACUUCCAGCUCUUCCAAGAGUGCUGACUGAGAGCUGGCCACUUAGCACCUCUCUGUGCAUGAAGGCCUGGUGCUGGGGGACAGUGACUCCAGAAGAAGCCUGGCCUCUUUCUCCCUGAGCACAGCAUCAUGAUGUCUCUAGUUCUGUUGCCUACUGCCACCCUGAUUCUCAGCCAGGCUUCCCCAGACUCAGCUGGAACCAGUAGCAUUAUAAUAAGGCAAGAAAUGUAAAUAUUAAAUAUUUAUUUAUAGUUACAUGACUAAGCUUGUGAAUAAUGCAUAAAAGAAUUUUCCAGUGAAAAAAGUUCUAAGGGCACUUUUUUUGGGUAACCAUUUAAAAA